AGUCGACGGUCGGCACUGGNNGGUUCGCUGGAAGGUGCCGGUAGUNNNGGACGGGUGAGUAACGCGUGAGGACAUGGCUCCAGGAGGGGGAUAACGUUUGGAAACGGACGCUAAGACCCCAUAUGCCGGAAGGUGAAACUGGCGCAAGCCAGCCUGGAGAGUGACUCGCGUCCUAUCAGCUAGCUGGUGGGGUGAAGGCCUACCAAGGCGAUGACGGGUAGCCGACCUGAGGGGGUGGCCGGCCACACUGGAACUGAGAUACGGUCCAGACUCCUACGGGAGGCAGCAGUGGGGAAUAUUGGGCAAUGGGCGAAAGCCUGACCCAGCGACGCCGCGUGGGGGAAGAAGUCUUUCGGGAUGUAAACCCUUGUUGUACGGGACGAAAACAAUGACGGUACCGUACGAGGAAGCCCCGGCAAACUACGUGCCAGCAGCCGCGGUAAUACGUAGGGGGCGAGCGUUGUCCGGAAUUACUGGGCGUAAAGCGCACGUAGGCGGGCUGUCAAGUCGGCCGUGAAAGGCACUGGCUCAACCGGUGUUUGUCGGUCGAUACUGGCGGUCUGGAGUAUGGGAGAGGGAACUGGAAUCCCCGGUGUAGCGGUGAAAUGCGUAGAUAUCGGGAGGAACACCAGUGGCGAAGGCGGGUUCCUGGCCCAUUACUGACGCUGAGGUGCGAAAGCCGGGGGAGCGAACGGGAUUAGAUACCCCGGUAGUCCCGGCUGUAAACGAUGGAUGUUAGGU
rnacentral:rRNA from 1 species